CUGGAUGUUCCUGCUAGUAGUCAUAUGCUUGUCUCAAAGAUCAAUCUACGCGUGUACAAUACAUGCCAUAUUAAGGUGCAACCAAUGGCUCAUUAAAUAAGUUCCAGUUCCUUAGAUCGUUUCUUAUUACUUAAAUAAGUGUAAAAAUUCUAGAGGUAAUACAUGCAACACAGCUCCAAUCUUCUCGGGACGAGCGCUUUUAUGAGACCAAAACUAAUCGGACAUCGUGUCUGUAAUAUGUGAUGACUCUACGUAACUUCGGGUUGAUCACACGGGCUCGUACCAGAGACGUAUCUUUCAAGUGGCUGCCUUAUCAACUGUCGAUGGUAGGCUACGCAUCUACCAUGGUCAUAAUGGGUGACGGGGAAUCAGGGUUUCAUUUCGCAAAGGGAGCCUGAGAAAUGGUUACCACAUUCAAGAAAGGUAACAGGCACGUAAAUUACCCGCUCCGAGAACGGGGAGGUAGUGAGUUCCAAAGUAGCAUAUUUG
rnacentral:ncRNA from 1 species